GUGCCAGCAGCCGCGGUAAUACGUAGGUCCCGAGCGUUGUCCGGAUUUAUUGGGCGUAAAGCGAGCGCAGGUGGUUUAAUAAGUCUGAUGUAAAAGGCAGUGGCUCAACCAUUGUGUGCAUUGGAAACUGUUAGACUUGAGUGCAGUAGAGGAGAGUGGAAUUCCAUGUGUAGCGGUGAAAUGCGUAGAUAUAUGGAGGAACACCGGUGGCGAAAGCGGCUCUCUGGACUGUAACUGACACUGAGGCUCGAAAGCGUGGGUAGCAAACAGGAUUAGAUACCCUGGUAGUCC
rnacentral:rRNA from 1 species